rnacentral:rRNA from 1 species
ACGCUCGACACCUACGGGAAGCAGCAGUGGGGAAUAUUGCACAAUGGAGGAAACUCUGAUGCAGCGAUGCCGCGUGAGGGAAGAAGGUUUUCGGAUUGUAAACCUCUGUCUUUGGGGACGAUAAUGACGGUACCCAAGGAGGAAGCUCCGGCUAACUACGUGCCAGCAGCAGCGGUAAUCUGAGCGGCUGGCAAGGC